AGAGCAAUGCUUCGGACCAUUGUUUAAAGCUGCCCAUUGCGAUGGAAAGAGAGAAAGUUUCCUCGGAAUGCCAACGUUGUGUUUCAUUCGAAUUAGGGCAAUCAUGUUGCCUCUGAUCAAAAUGGAAUCAAAAAGUGCCCAUUGUGAUGGAAAGAUGACCAAAAGGUGUUGCCUCUGAUCGAGACUUUACUGAAAGACCGUGUAAAACAAGAAGACUUUUAUACGAUGCAAUACACAAGUAGCUCUACGGAUUACAAGCUUGCUUGAGAGGUGCUAUAAAAACUGUGGAACCGACUUGUUAUUCUCAGGCCGUUCAUGAUCCAAAUUGGAGACAUGCCAUGAAUUCCG